UACAGAGGUCUCAAGCGUUGUUCGGAUUCAUUGGGCGUAAAGGGUGCGUAGGCGGUUUGUCGCGUCUGCUGUGAAAACUCGGGGCUUAACCCCGGGCCUGCAGUGGGUACGGGCAGACUAGAGUGCGGUAGGGGAGACUGGAAUUCCUGGUGUAGCGGUGAAAUGCGCAGAUAUCAGGAGGAACACCGGUGGCGAAGGCGGGUCUCUGGGCCGUAACUGACGCUGAGGAGCGAAAGCGUGGGGAGCGAACAGG
rnacentral:rRNA from 1 species